rnacentral:rRNA from 1 species
GACGAACGCUGGCGGCGUGCUUAACACUUGCAAGUCGAACGGAAAGGCCCUGCUUUUGUGGGGUGCUCGAGUGGCGAACGGGUGAGUAACACGUGAGUAACCUGCCCUUGACUUUGGGAUAACUUCAGGAAACUGGGGCUAAUACCGGAUAGGAGCUCCUGCUGCAUGGUGGGGGUUGGAAAGUUUCGGCGGUUGGGGAUGGACUCGCGGCUUAUCAGCUUGUUGGUGGGGUAGUGGCUUACCAAGGCUUUGACGGGUAGCCGGCCUGAGAGGGGGACCGGCCACAUGGGGAUGGAGAACAGGCCCAGGCCCCUCGGGGGGGAAGAAGGGGGGAAUAUUGCAAAAGGGGGGGAGGCCUGAGCCGGCAACGCCGGGGGCGGGAGGGCGGCCUUCGGGUUGAAAACCCUUUUCCCCUGUGGCGAAGGGUGAAGGGGGGGAAGGGGAAAAGAAGCACCGGCAAACUACGG